rnacentral:rRNA from 1 species
CACGUAGGGCGCAAGCGUUGUCCGGAAUUAUUGGGCGUAAAGAGCUUGUAGGCGGUCUGUCGCGUCUGCUGUGAAAAUCCGGGGCUCAACCCCGGACUUGCAGUGGGUACGGGCAGACUAGAGUGCGGUAGGGGAGACUGGAAUUCCUGGUGUAGCGGUGAAAUGCGCAGAUAUCAGGAGGAACACCGGUGGCGAAGGCGGGUCUCGUGGGCCGUAACUGGACGCUGAGGAGCGAAAGCAUGGGGAGCGAACAGG